CAAGACCUUGCGCUUUUGGAGCGGCCGAUGUCUGAUUAGCUAGUUGGUGGGGUAAUGGCUUACCAAGGCUUCGAUCAGUAGCUGGUCUGAGAGGACGACCAGCCACACUGGGACUGAGACACGGCCCAGACUCCUACGGGGGGCAGCAGUGGGGAAUUUUGGACAAUGGGGGAAACCCUGAUCCAGCCAUGCCGCGUGAGUGAAGAAGGCCUUCGGGUUGUAAAGCUCUUUCAGCCGGAACGAAAAGGUCACGGCUAAUACCCGUGACAAAUGACGGUACCGGAAGGAGAAGCACCGGCUAACUACGUGCCAGCAGCCGCGGUAAUACGUAGGUGGCAAGCGUAGUCCGGAUCGGAAUUACUGGGCGUAAAGCGUGCGCAGGCGGUUUUGUAAGUCAGAUGUGAAAUCCCCGGGCUUAACCUGGGAACU
rnacentral:rRNA from 1 species